rnacentral:lncRNA from 1 species
UUUGUUAGUUGACGAUGCAAUCAGCAUGCUGAUUAAGGUUGCUUGGUUUUUUACUAAACAUUAACUGAAUGAAAACGGGUAGUCCUUGUUCUGCUUGGGGGGCUUUAAGGAAGCAAAUGGACUUUCAGAACAGAGAUUGUCAAUAAAGAUCCAAUGUGAUAAUUUAUGUGAAAUCUUUCUGCAAACUAUACAGUAUGAUAAAAAUAUAAGGUAGUUUCACUGGAAACAACAGAAGACUAGAAGCUGAUGUGACGUGGCAAUAUCAACCAGGAAUACCCAUCUCGAGUUCUGGAUAUGUGCUCUGAGAAGGUGCCCAUGUCACCGACCACACUGGAGGCCAAUGCAGAUACUGGGGGAAGGUUCCAUGGUAGCUAAGUGUGGACAAGCUAAUCACUGAAGUUCCCUGAUGCAGAGUUGAUAAUCUCUCUAGAGUUGGAUGAAAGACUGUGCUGCCUUGAAGCUCUGAGAGAUGCCAUGCCAAUUCAAGGCAGGGUCUUUAUUGUUGAAACUCUUGCGUAAUGACAUCUUUAUUCAGGUGAAAAUACAGGAUGAAUUUCAACUAUAUGAUAUUGUUUAUGUUCCUCAGACAUGUUAUUUGUCUUUACAAAGAUUGGUUUCAAUAAACUGUGUGACUGAUAUUAAAUAAACAUGGAAUUUUACACAUUCAUAAUA